rnacentral:rRNA from 1 species
AUCUAUAGCCAUACCACAUUGAACACCUUUGAUCUCAUCUGAUCCCCAAAGUUAAGCAUAGUUGGGCUUUGUAAAUACGUGGAUGGCAGACCAGCUGGGAAUAUUGAGUACUUGAGUGU